GGACGAACGCUGGCGGCGUGCCUAAUACAUGCAAGUAGAACGCUGAAGGAGGAGCUUGCUCUUCUGGAUGAGUUGCGAACGGGUGAGUAACGCGUAGGUAACCUGCCUGGUAGCGGGGGAUAACUAUUGGAAACGAUAGCUAAUACCGCAUAAGAGUAGAUGUUGCAUGACAUUUGCUUAAAAGGUGCAAUUGCAUCACUACCAGAUGGACCUGCGUUGUAUUAGCUAGUUGGUGGGGUAACGCCCCACCAAGGCGACGAUACAUAGCCGACCUGAGAGGGUGAUCGGCCCCACUGGGACUGAGACACGGCCCAGACGCCUACGGGAGGCAGCAGUAGGGAAUCUUCGGCAAUGGACGGAAGUCUGACCGAGCAACGCCGCGUGAGUGAAGAAGGUUUUCGGAUCGUAAAGCUCUGUUGUAAGAGAAGAACGAGUGUGAGAGUGGAAAGUUCACACUGUGACGGUAUCUUACCAGAAAGGGACGGCUAACUACGUG
rnacentral:rRNA from 1 species